rnacentral:rRNA from 1 species
AGGAUGAACGCUGGCGGCGUGCCUAAUACAUGCAAGUCGAGCGGUAAGGCUCCUGCAGUUUGUUUAAUCGUAUAAGCUCAACCCGAAGGCUCGGGGAGAGUUGAUUGAAUAAAGUGCUGGAGUACACGAGCGGCGGACGGCUGAGUAACACGUAGGAACGUACCCCAAACUGAGGGAUAAGCACCAGAAAUGGUGUCUAAUACCGCAUGUGCUCUUCGGAGUAAAGCUACGGCGGUUUGGGAACGGCCUGCGUAAGAUUAGCUAGUUGGUGAGGUAAUAGCUCACCAAGGCGACGAUCUUUAGCUGGUCUGAGAGGAUGACCAGCCAGACUGGGACUGAGAACGGCCCAGACUCCUACGGGAGGCAGCAGUAGGGAAUCUUCCACAAUGGACGCAAGUCUGAUGGAGCAACGCCGCGUGCAGGAUGAAUGUCUUCGGAUUGUAAACUGUCUUUUCUAUGUGACGAAUAGUAGACGGUAGACAGUA